rnacentral:rRNA from 1 species
GAUGAACGCUGGCGGCGUGCCUAAUACAUGCAAGUCGAGCGAACGGACGAGAAGCUUGCUUCUCUGAUGUUAGCGGCGGACGGGUGAGUAACACGUGGAUAACCUACCUAUAAGACUGGGAUAACCUCGGGAAACCGGAGCUAAUACCGGAUAAUAUUUUGAACCGCAUGGUUCAAAAGUGAAAGACGGUCUUGCUGUCACUUAUAGAUGGAUCCGCGCUGCAUUAGCUAGUUGGUAAGGUAACGGCUUACCAAGGCAACGAUGCAUAGCCGACCUGAGAGGGUGAUCGGCCACACUGGAACUGAGACACGGUCCAGACUCCUACGGGAGGCAGCAGUAGGGAAUCUUCCGCAAUGGGCGAAAGCCUGACGGAGCAACGCCGCGUGAGUGAUGAAGGUCUUCGGAUCGUAAAACUCUGUUAUUAGGGAAGAACAUAUGUGUAAGUAACUGUGCACAUCUUGACGGUACCUAAUCAGAAAGCCACGGCUAACUACGUG